rnacentral:lncRNA from 1 species
AUGGGAGUUUGCCCAACCAAUCCACAUGUGUUUUGUGGAUUUGGAGAAGGCAUUCAACUGUGUCCCUCGCGGCAUCCUGUGGAGGGUGCUUCGGGAGUAUGGGUCCUGGGUCCUUUGCUAAGGGCUGUCAGGUCCCUGUACGACAGAAGCAGGAGCUUGGUUCGCAUUGCCGGCAGUAAGUCAGACUUGUUCCCAGUGCAUGUGGGACUCCGGCAGGGCUGCCCUUUGUCGCCGGUUCUGUUCGUAAUUUUUAUGGAAAGAAUUUCUAGGCGCAGCCAGGGGCCGGAGGGUGUCAGGUUUGGGGACCACACGAUUUCAUCUCUGCUCUUUGCGGAUGAUGUUGUCGUGUUGGCCCCUUCAAACCUGGACCUUCAGCAUGCACUGGUACGGUUUGCAGCCGAGUGUGAAGCGGUUGGGAUGAAAAUCAGUACCUCCAAAUCCGAGGCCAUGGUCCUCAGUCGGAAAAGGGUGGCUUGCCUACUUCAGGUUGGUGGAGAGUUAUUGCCUCAAGUGGAGGAGUUUAAGUAUCUAGGGGUCUUGUUCACGAGUGAGGGAAGGAUGGAACGGGAGAUUGACAGACGGAUUGGUGCAGCUUCUGCAGUAAUGCGGUCAAUGUAUCUGUCUGUCGUGGUGAAGAAAGAGUUGAGCGGCAAGGCGAAGCUCUCGAUUUACCGGUCAAUCUACGUUCCUACUCUCACCUAUGGUCAUGAGCUUUGGGUCCUGACCGAAAGGACAAGAUCCCGGAUACAGGCGGCCGAAAUGAGCUUUCUCCGCAGGGUGGCCGGGCAAUCUCUUAGAGAUAGGGUGAGAAGCUCGGUCACCCGGGAGGAGCUCAGAGUAGAGCCGCUGCUCCUCCACAUCGAGAGGGGUCAGCUGAGGUGGUUUGGGCAUCUGUUCCGGAUGGCCCAGGGAAGACCUAGGACACGCUGGAGGGACUAUGUCUCCCGGCUGGCCUGGGAACGCCUCAGUGUCCCCCCGGAAGAGCUAGAGGAAGUGUCUAGGGAGAGGGAAGUCUGGGCAUCUCUGCUUAGACUGCUGCCCCCGCGACCCGGCCCCGGAUAA